CAGCAGCCGCGGGAAUACGUAGGGUGCAAGCGUUAAUCGGAAUUACUGGGCGUAAAGCGUGCGCAGGCGGUUUGUUAAGACAGAUGUGAAAUCCCCGGGCUCAACCUGGGAACUGCAUUUGUGACUGGCAGGCUAGGGUAUGGCAGAGGGGGGUGGAAUUCCGCGUGUAGCAGUGAAAUGCGUAGAUAUGCGGAGGAACACCGAUGGCGAAGGCAGCCCCCUGGGCCAAUACUGACGCUCAUGCACGAAAGCGUGGGGAGCAAACAGGAUUAGAUACCCGUGUAGUCCCUGUCUCUUAUAA
rnacentral:rRNA from 1 species